AACGGCCAUACCAUGUUGAAUAUACCGGUUCUCAUUAGAUCACCGAAGUCAAGCAUCAUUGGGCGCGGUCAGUACUUGGGUGGGUGACCACCUGGGAACACCGCGUGUAGU
rnacentral:rRNA from 1 species